AAAAUUUCAAUUUAUUAAUUUCCAAAUGACAGCAAAACAGAAACAAAAUUUUGCCAAGGAGAAAACCCAUUUAUGCUUCUUCUUCUUCUACUCACCCUGAACUUCGAUCUAUAAAACGAGGUGCUUGUGCUUCUUCUUGUAGUAGUAGUAGUGAAGGAUGGCGAGACCGUGGGUACUGGUCUCUUUGCUAUUGUUAAUUGUGUUCACGUCUCAGUUAGAGUGGAAACAACAAUUUGGUAAUGAAAUUGAAGCAAGUCCAAACAUUUCCUUGAAAGACCAACAACAACAAUUUAGUUUGAAUCGAGAAGAAGUUGUCAAAGAAAAGAUAAUCCUUUCUCAAGAAAAGAACAUUCAGAAACUUAAUGAGCUUGUCCAGAGUCUCCGGGAACAGUUGAAGCAGUGUAGGAGUGAAAAUUACAUUCUCAACAGCACUGCGAUCCCUUUGACUGAACAUCUAAAUGGAGUUUGAACAGCAACCAAUAUUGGAGGACCAAACAUGGACCGCACACUUUUAACAUUGAUAUGUAUGGUAUGUGCUUUAGACAAACCUGGUAUUUCUAUCUCGGCAAUUUAACUUUACUAGGAGAUGAUCCCUGUUAUUUUAUCUGACUCGUAUAAUACAGUCAUUAUCCACAUUUUCGUAUGUUAAUAUUAAGUGGAUUUAUAAAGCCUAUACCCUAGUCUUCACUAUUUUGGAUGAAAUCUAUAAUAUUCUGCAUCCAA